rnacentral:rRNA from 1 species
GGGGAAUAUUGGGCAAUGGAGGAAACUCUAACCCAGCAACGCCGCGUGGAGGAAGAAGGUUUUCGGAUCGUAAACUCCUGUCCUUGGAGACGAGUAGAAGACGGUAUCCAAGGAGGAAGCCCCGGCUAACUACGUGCCAGCAGCCGCGGUAAUACGUAGGGGGCAAGCGUUGUCCGGAAUAAUUGGGCGUAAAGGGCGCGUAGGCGGCUCGGUAAGUCUGGAGUGAAAGUCCUGCUUUUAAGGUGGGAAUUGCUUUGGAUACUGUCGGGCUUGAGUGCAGGAGAGGUUAGUGGAAUUCCCAGUGUAGCGGUGAAAUGCGUAGAGAUUGGGAGGAACACCAGUGGCGAAGGCGACUAACUGGACUGUAACUGACGCUGAGGCGCGAAAGUGUGGGGAGCAAACAGGAUUAGAUACCCUGGUAGUCCACACUGUAAACGAUGAAUGCUAGGUGUAGGGGGUAUCGACCCCUUCUGUGCCGCAGUCAACACAAUAAGCAUUCCGCCUGGGGAGUACGGCCGCAAGGUUGAAACUCAAAGGAAUUGACGGGGGCCCGCACAAGCAGCGGAGCAUGUGGUUUAAUUCGACGCAACGCGAAGAACCUUACCAGGUCUUGACAUCCACUUAAACUUACAGAGAUGUAAGGUGUGCUUGCACAAAGUGAGACAGGUGGUGCAUGGUUGUCGUCAGCUCGUGUCGUGAGAUGUUGGGUUAAGUCCCGCAACGAGCGCAACCCUUAUCUUCAGUUACUAACGCGUAAAGGUGAGGACUCUGAAGAGACUGCCGGGGACAACUCGGAGGAAGGUGGGGACGACGUCAAAUCAUCAUGCCCCUUAUGACCUGGGCUACACACGUGCUACAAUGGCCACGACAGAGAGAAGCGAAAUCGUAAGGUAGAGCGGAACUCAAAAAAGUGGUCCCAGUUCGGAUUGUGGGCUGCAACCCGCCCACAUGAAGUCGGAGUUGCUAGUAAUCGCGGAUCAGCAUGCCGCGGUGAAUACGUUCCCG